rnacentral:lncRNA from 1 species
CCCCAAAGUGAAGUGCCGCCCAAAUAUCCAUUGGAAUUUGCCCUAAUUUACACACUUCAGAGAAUAGGCGAAUCGAUCUGCACACCAUGAAGCCGCCGGCGAUUCGAUCCGCAGACUGUGAAUCAGCGUCGCUUUUCUUCUGGUUCAGGGGGACAAAUUUAAUUUUCUGAAGCAUAAAAGAGAAAGAAGUUCCUCAUUGUUUCACAACAGAUGGUGAUUAAAUAUUUGUUUUAUUCCAUUAAUGAACUCAUUGUUUUAUUACAAACCAGAUAAAUACAAAUAAUUGUCUUUCAAGUUUUAAAGUCCCUAAGGCACGAGUCCAUCCUAUGUGUAGCAUGCAUCAACAAUCAUCACAUAGUAGCACCUGAAACAUAUGUGAAAAUAGUCGAACUUUUUCCUCUAAAGUUCCUCUAAAUAUAUCUACGAUUGGAAUUUUGGCUCCAUAACCCCAAAGUGAAGUGCCGCCCAAAUAUCCAUUGGAAUUUGCCCUAAUUUACACACUUCAGAGAAUAGGCGAAUCGAUCUGCACACCAUGAAGCCGCCGGCGAUUCGAUCCGCAGACUGUGAAUCAGCGUCGCUUUUCUUCUGGUUCAGGGGGACAAAUUUAAUUUUCUGAAGCAUAAAAGAGAAAGAAGGUGUUAGCUUCAAGAACCAUGUCAUACAGGCCUUUGAUUCCUUCUUAUAUUCAGAUAUGUAAAACUAGCAGAGGAAAGAGCUAAAGAAUGAUAAAAUGCAAGCCUAAGGAUAAUGAUCAACUUCCUGAAGUUUUGUGAGUUGCACUGCAAGUAUAUACCGACUUUCUCAUGAGUGUUUUGGAAAUACUGAAUGCAAUACUGAUAAACGUGUUGUCAAGGAACCGAAAGAAUAAUAUUUAAGGAACAAAUGAAGGGCUAUCUUCAAAAGAUGGAAGUGCUUCCGUGGAUUAAUUUGUGGCUGUGACAAACAAAGAGCAUACGGACACCGUUGACUUUAUGGUAGAGGCGUUAUUAACAAAUCGAUAAAAAAAGUGGAUGGUUGUGAUAUACCUACCAUACAUGAUUCCAAGGGACUUAUGGAAUCACUCAAAGCUAGUGUCGAAGUUAAAACAAUUAUUUGCAUGAAAUGCGAAAAGAUAUUAAAGAGGAUCGUGAAAGGAAAAAACGCCGAGCAUGAAAUGCGAAAAGAUAUUAAAGAGGAUCGUGAAAGGAAAAAACGCCAAGUUAGAAGCCACAUGGAAAUAUAAUUGACAACCCAUAAGAAAACACUCAAGCAACUACCUUUUAGAGGUGGAGAGUUUUGAACAUGUGUAGAAGGUUUUUGUUACUCUUAAUUAAUUGUAAUUGACAACUUUGUGUUGAAUACAUUAUUUUGAGUUUGAACAUAUAUGUUAAAGUACAUAAAGAUUCUU